rnacentral:rRNA from 1 species
UACGAAGGGGGCUAGCGUUGCUCGGAAUCACUGGGCGUAAAGGGUGCGUAGGCGGGUUUUAAGUCAGGGUGAAAUCCUGGAGCUCAACUCCAGAACUGCCUUUGAUACUGAAGAUCUUGAGUCCGGGAGAGGUGAGUGGAACUGCGAGUGUAGGGGUGAAAGUUCGUAGAUAUUCGCAAGAACACCAGUGGCGAAGGCGGCUCACUGGCCCGGUACUGACGCUGAGGCACGAAAGCGUGGGGAGCAAACAGG